AAGUCGUAACAAGGUUUCCGUAGGUGAACCUGCGGAAGGAUCAUUAACACGUAUCCAAACGUAAAAAACCCCCCCCGUGAGCAUUCAAUCCUGCUCUUGUAACCCGCGUAGUUCGCAAUCUCUGGUAAAUCAUAGCCCGGAAAGUAGUUUUGAUUCAGAGACCUCUGGCUGAGCUUCACAUUAAACUGUGGGGUUAUAAGGGGGCAUGGGGACCCUUUGGCAUAGCUCCUGCCCGAGUGUACGGUCUACAGGAAUCGUUGAAGCGCUAUCCUUGCACAAUCAGUGACACUUUCAGACACUGACUGCUUGGGGAAACAAUGCCUAUGAAACUACCGCUCGAUUGUAACUGUUCCAAUGUUCUCACGUUGGGUAAAAAAACCGAACAACUGUUAACAAUGGAUAUCUUGGUUCUC
rnacentral:misc_RNA from 1 species